rnacentral:rRNA from 1 species
UAGGGAAUCUUGCGCAAUGGGCGAAAGCCUGACGCAGCCAUGCCGCGUGAAUGAUGAAGGUCUUAGGAUUGUAAAAUUCUUUCACCGGGGACGAUAAUGACGGUACCCGGAGAAGAAGCUCCGGCUAACUUCGUGCCAGCAGCCGCGGUAAUACGAAGGGGGCUAGCGUUGCUCGGAAUUACUGGGCGUAAAGGGCGCGUAGGCGGACAGUUUAGUCAGAGGUGAAAGCCCAGGGCUCAACCUUGGAAUAGCCUUUGAUACUGGCUGUCUUGAGUACGGGAGAGGUGUGUGGAACUCCGAGUGUAGAGGUGAAAUUCGUAGAUAUUCGGAAGAACACCAGUGGCGAAGGCGACACACUGGCCCGUUACUGACGCUGAGGCGCGAAAGCGUGGGGAGCAAACA